CCAAUAGCGUAUAUUAAAGUUGCUGCAGUUAAAAAGCUCGUAGUUGAAUUUCGGGACCAAUAUGUCGGUCGUGCCUCGGUACGUACUGGCAUCGUUGGUUUCUCCCUUCUGACGAACCAUGAUGUCAUUCAUUUGGUGUCGUGGGGAAUCAGGACUGUUACUUUGAAAAAAUUAGAGUGUUUAAAGCAGGCUCACGCUUGAAUACAUUAGCAUGGAAUAAUGAAAUAGGACGUUUGAUUCUAUUUUGUUGGUUUCUAGGAUCGACGUAAUGAUUAAUAGGGAUAGUUGGGGGCAUUAGUAUUCAAUUGGCAGAGGUGAAAUGCUUGGAUUUAUUGAAGACUAACUACUGCGAAAGCAUUUGCCAAGGAUGGUUUCAUUAAUCAAGAACGAAAGUUAGGGGAUCGAAGACGAUCAGAUUCCGUCGUAGUCUUAACCAUAAACUAUGCCGACUAGGGAUUGGACGAUGUUAAUUUUUUAAUGACUCGUUCAGCGCCUUACG
rnacentral:rRNA from 1 species